rnacentral:rRNA from 1 species
AUACCGGAUAAGCCCUUACGGGGAAAGAUUUAUCGCCGAAAGAUCGGCCCGCGUCUGAUUAGCUAGUUGGUGAGGUAAUGGCUCACCAAGGCGACGAUCAGUAGCUGGUCUGAGAGGAUGAUCAGCCACAUUGGGACUGAGACACGGCCCAAACUCCUACGGGAGGCAGCAGUGGGGAAUAUUGGACAAUGGGGGCAACCCUGAUCCAGCCAUGCCGCGUGAGUGAUGAAGGCCCUAGGGUUGUAAAGCUCUUUUGUGCGGGAAGAUAAUGACGGUACCGCAAGAAUAAGCCCCGGCUAACUUCGUGCCAGCAGCCGCGGUAAUACGAAGGGGGCUAGCGUUGCUCGGAAUCACUGGGCGUAAAGGGUGCGUAGGCGGGUCUUUAAGUCAGGGGUGAAAUCCUGGAGCUCAACUCCAGAACUGCCUUUGAUACUGAAGAUCUUGAGUUCGGGAGAGGUGAGUGGAACUGCGAGUGUAGAGGUGAAAUUCGUAGAUAUUCGCAAGAACACCAGUGGCGAAGGCGGCUCACUGGCCCGAUACUGACGCUGAGGCACGAAAGCGUGGGGAGGAAACAGGAUUAGAUAACCUGGUAUUCACGCCGUUAACGAAGAAUGCCAGCCGUUAGUGGGUUUAAUCAAUAGGGGCGCAGCUAACGUUUAAGCAUUCCGCCUGGGGAGUACGGUGCAAGAUAAAAUUCAAAGGAAUUGACGGGGGCCCGCACAAGCGGUGGAGCAUGUGGUUUAAUUAGACGCAACGCGCAGAACCUUACCAGCCCUUGACAUGUCCAGGACCGGUCGCAGAGAUGUGACCCUCUCUUCGGAGCCUGGAGCACAGGUGCUGCAUGGCUGUCGUCAGCUCGUGUCGUGAGAUGUUGGGUUAAGUCCCGCAACGAGCGCAACCCCCGUCCUUAGUUGCUACCAUUUAGUUGAGCACUCUAAGGAGACUGCCGGUGAUAAGCCGCGAGGAAGGUGGGGAUGACGUCAAGUCCUCAUGGCCCUUACGGGCUGGGCUACACACGUGCUACAAUGGCGGUGACAAUGGGAUGUUAAGGGAGGACCCUUCGCAAAUCUCAAAAAGCCGUCUCAGUUCUGUGAGGGCUCUGCAACUCGAGCCCAUGAAGUGGAAUCGGCUAGUAAUAGUGAAUCAGCACGGACAUUAGGCUAACUUCGUGCCCCCAGCCGCG